AUGAACUGGAUCUUCCAGAGACCCGGGCAGGGACUGGAAUACGUCGCAAGGAUCCACAGCAGUGGGGCUUACGCCAACUACGCGCCAUCGGUCAAGGGGCUCCGGGUGGCCGAGACCCUGCUGAAGUGUGGGGGGGACCUCCAGCCCCCCGGGGAGACCCGGAUGUUGUUGUGCGGAGGGUCUGGGUUCAAUUUCGGGGGUCAGUCCAUGAGCUGGGUCCGUCAGAGACCCAGGCAGGGUUUGGAAUUGCUCGCAGGCAUCUACAGCGAUGAUUCCUACACCGCGUACGCGCCAUCGGUCAAGGGGCUCCGGGCCGUGGUGACCCUGCUGGAGUGCGGUGGGGACAUCGAGCCCCCCGGGGGGUCCCUGCGCCUCCUCUGCCGAGGGUCCGGGUUCAGUUUCAGCAGUUUUCCCAUGCAAUGGAUCCGCCAGAGACCCGGGCAGGGGCUGGAGUGGCUCGCGGGGAUCAGCAGCCCUUCUGGUUCCAGCACCUACCACGCGCCGUCAGUCAAGGGCCGGUUCAGGAUCUCCAGGGACAACAGGCAGAGCUCGGUGACGCUGACCAUGAACAACCUCAAGGACGAGGAUUCCGCCACCUAUUUCUGUGCCAAAGACAGUGGUCACUGA